rnacentral:rRNA from 1 species
CCUACGGGUGGCAGCAGUGGGGAAUAUUGCACAAUGGGGGAAACCCUGAUGCAGCGACGCCGCGUGAGCGAUGAAGGAUUUCGGUAUGUAAAGCUCUAUCAGCAGGGAAGAAGAUGACGGUACCUGACCAACAAUCCCCGGCUAAUUACGUGACAGCAGCCGCGGUAAUACGCAGGGGGCGAGCGUUAUCCGGAUUGACUGGGUGGAAAGGGAGCGUAGACGGGGUGGCAAGGCAGAUGUGAAAGUGCGGGGCUCAACCCCGAGACUGCAUUUGAAACUGUGUGGCUGGAGUGUCGGAGAGGUAGGCGGAAUUCGUGGUGUAGCGGUGAAAUGCGUAGAUAUCAGGAGGAACACCAGUGGCGAAGGCGGCCUGCUGGACGAUAACUGACGCUGAGGCUCGAAAGCGUGGGUAGCAAACAGGAUUAGAUACCCCGGUAGUC